UACGUAGGGUGCGAGCGUUAAUCGGAAUUACUGGGCGUAAAGCGUGCGCAGGCGGUUUUGUAAGCCAGAUGUGAAAGCCCCGGGCUUAACCUGGGAAUGGCAUUUGGGACUGCAAGGCUGGAGUGCGGCAGAGGAGACUGGAAUUCCUGGUGUAGCAGUGAAAUGCGUAGAUAUCAGGAGGAACACCAAUGGCGAAGGCAGCUCGCUGGGACGGUACUGACGCUGAGGCGCGAAAGCGUGGGGAGCAAACAGG
rnacentral:rRNA from 1 species